rnacentral:rRNA from 1 species
UACAUAGGAAUCUACCUAGCAGUAAGGAAUAACCCUCGGAAACGAGAGCUAAUGCCAUAUAUUACCGAUUUAUCGGGAAAGAUUUAUCGCUGUUAGAUGAGCCUGUGCCGGAUUAGCUAGUUGGUGGGGUAAGAGCCUACCAAGGCGAUGAUCCGUAGCUGGUCUGAGAGGAUGACCAGCCACACUGGGACUGCGACACGGCCCAGACUCCUACGGGAGGCAGCAGUGGGGAAUAUUGGACAAUGGGCGCAAGCCUGAUCCAGCAAUACCACGUGAGUGAUGAAGGCUUUCGGGUUGUAA